AUCUCGUGCAUGGUAGUUGUGAAAAUAAGAGAAGAAAAUGACCCUUGAGUCCUCUUCUUUUUGGCCAAAAAAAUAAAAAAUAAAAUCGUACAGUAUUGAUCUUGAUCUCGUAGUAGCUAGUAUCCUUAAUUAGCCGGCGGCCGUACUGUGUGGUCGAUAUCUUUUCCUUUCAGUUCGUGUAUAUAUAGCAGUAACCUCAGGCGACGUCCCAUGUGGUCGAUAUCAUUUCUUUUAGUUCGUCUACCCCUGAUCAGAACGUCCGACGGCCAAGUGAGAUUUGAGAUACUCUUCAGUUUUGGACAACGACAAUGGAGAAACACAAAGUUGGCUUACCUUUUAAGAAACCACAAUCAUCCCGUCCAUUACCCGAAGGGCCAGGAAGUCAUGAACCGGAAACGAGGGAUCCCAAAACCACAUCUCCACCUGAUUGGUUUGAAACGGUAGAAGGGAUAAUGAAGUCAUUAAUUGAUCCAAUAACGGCAGAGCUGAAAAAAAUGGAAGAGAGGCUCAAAAGUUUGGAAGAUCUUCUCACGAAGAAAUAAAUACCAACCAACUGUUGGUUUGGUAUUUAAUCAGUUGGUUGGUACGUAUUUAAUUUCAAAAUGCAUGCAUGUGUGUUUCUAUGUUUGUCAUCAUGAUGAUGAUCUAUAUUAACGUUUGUACUGCUUAAUUGGUUUCUCGUAUUAAUUGUUAAGUACUUACGUACGUACGUACGUAUGCUAUUAUUAUUGUUAUUAUUAUUA